UAAGCCCCUGAGAUGAGGUCAGACUGGUGUAUUAUCAGACUGGUGUUUUACCUACCUCUCAGUACCAUUCAUGAUUCUAAGAGAUCCAUAUAAGCCCCUGAGAUGAGGUCAGACUGGUGUAUUAUCAGACUGGUGUUUUACCUACCUCUCAGUACCAUUCAUGAUUCUAAGAGAUCCAUGUAAGCCCCUGAGAUGAGGUCAGACUGGUGUAUGGAGAGCUUCUCCAUCAAAUCUUGAGCUAUUUUUAUCCCCUCUUCUUGUGUUUGCUCCUCCUCCA